AGAGUUUGAUCCUGGCUCAGGAUGAACGCUAGCGACAGGCCUAACACAUGCAAGUCGAGGGGUAACAUGAGUGCUUGCACUUGAUGACGACCGGCGCACGGGUGCGUAACGCGUAUGCAACUUACCUUGUACUGGGGAAUAGCCCGUGGAAACGCGGAUUAAUGUCCCAUAACACUACAAUUUCGCAUGGAAAAGUGGUUAAAGUUCCGACGGUACAAGAUGGGCAUGCGUGACAUUAGCUAGUUGGUGAGGUAAGGGCUCACCAAGGCGACGAUGUCUAGGGGUUCUGAGAGGAAGGUCCCCCACACUGGUACUGAGACACGGACCAGACUCCUACGGGAGGCAGCAGUGAGGAAUAUUGGUCAAUGGGCGCAAGCCUGAACCAGCCAUGUCGCGUGCAGGAAGACUGCCCUACGGGUUGUAAACUGCUUUUGUAUGGGAAGAAACGUUGGUACGUGUACCAAUUUGCCGGUACCAUACGAAUAAGGAUCGGCUAACUCCGUGCCAGCAGCCGCGGUAAUACGGAGGAUCCAAGCGUUAUCCGGAUUUAUUGGGUUUAAAGGGUGCGUAGGCGGUAGAAUAAGUCAGUGGUGAAAUCCUGCAGCUUAACUGUAGAACUGCCAUUGAUACUGUUUUACUUGAGUGUAAUUGAGGUAGGCGGAAUGUGUUGUGUAGCGGUGAAAUGCAUAGAUAUAACACAGAACACCGAUUGCGAAGGCAGCUUACUAAGUUAUAACUGACGCUGAUGCACGAAAGCGUGGGUAGCGAACAGGAUUAGAUACCCUGGUAGUCCACGCCGUAAACGAUGAUUACUCGCUGUAGGCAAUACACCGUCUGUGGCUGAGCGAAAGCAUUAAGUAAUCCACCUGGGGAGUACGUUGGCAACAAUGAAACUCAAAGGAAUUGACGGGGGCCCGCACAAGCGGAGGAACAUGUGGUUUAAUUCGAUGAUACGCGAGGAACCUUACCUGGACUUGAAUGUAGAUUGACGUAUCCAGAGAUGGAUAUUUCUUCGGACAAUUUACAAGGUGCUGCAUGGUUGUCGUCAGCUCGUGCCGUGAGGUGUCGGGUUAAGUCCCAUAACGAGCGCAACCCCUGUUGUUAGUUACCAGCACAUCAUGGUGGGGACUCUAACAAGACUGCCGGUGUAAACCGCGAGGAAGGUGGGGAUGACGUCAAAUCAGCACGGCCCUUACGUCCAGGGCUACACACGUGUUGCAAUGGCCGGUACAGAGGGCAGCUACUUGGUGACAAGAUGCGAAUCUCAAAAACCGGUCUCAGUUCGGAUCGAAGUCUGCAACCCGACUUCGUGAAGCUGGAUUCGCUAGUAAUCGCAUAUCAGCCAUGAUGCGGUGAAUACGUUCCCGGGCCUUGUACACACCGCC
rnacentral:rRNA from 1 species